CGAUCAGUUUCAGCUGGGUUGGGAUUUUGGCCAAUCAUUGUGGGAGGAGAUUGCUUAAAAGCGGGUAGAGAGCACCUGUCUUCCUUUUUUUGGCCUGUCAGAGGCUGGGUCGUAGCACUUCCUGGCAUUCCCCCAGUUCCGUCCCGGCGUGGUGGUAGAGGCCAUUGGGGGUGCGCUAUGCUCCACUGACUGCUCGCUGCGGGUUGUUUCUGUGCGGCGUCUAUUCCUCUCCUCCAAGCUGUGUCGUCCAGGACUGCCUGAUUGGGGGAAGUAUAACCCAGCUGCUGCGCAGUGUCGGCCGAUCAGCAAGGGAAACCACUGCUGCUUUGCCUCGUACCGGAGAUUGUUUGGUUGCAA